CAAGUCGAGCGAGAAAGUUCCUUCGGGAAUGAGUACAGCGGCGGACGGGUGAGUAACACGUAAGAAUCUGCCCUAUAGUGAGGAAUACCCUCGAGAAAUUGAGGUUAAUACUGCAUAAGUCCCUGCGGGGAGAAAAGCGUCUUUUAUGUCGCUGCUAUAGGAUGAGCUUGCGGACUAUCAGCUUGUUGGUGAGGUAAAGGCUCACCAAGGCUAUGACGGUUAACCGGCCUGAGAGGGUGUACGGUCACAUAGGCACUGAGAUACGGGCCUGACUCCUACGGGAGGCAGCAGUGGGGAAUAUUGCGCAAUGGGCGAAAGCCUGACGCAGCGACGCCGCGUGGAGGAUGAAGGUCUUCGGAUUGUAAACUCCUGUCAGAUGGAAAGAAAAUAUCAUAUUUAAUAGAUAUGAGGAAUGACGGUACCAUCAGAGGAAGCACCGGCUAACUUCGUGCCAGCAGCCGCGGUAAUACGAAGGGUGCAAACGUUAUUCGGAAUCACUGGGCGUAAAGGGUGCGUAGACGGUAUGUUAAGUUCGUCGUUAAAGGCUUCGGCCUAACCGGAGUACCGCGAUAAAAACUGGCGUGCUAGAGGGUGAGAGAGAGAAGUGGAAUUCCUGGAGUAGCGGUAAAAUGCGUGGAUCUCAGGAGGAACACCAAUGGCGAAGGCAGCUUCUUGGCUCAUUCCUGACGUUGAGGCACGAAAGCGUGGGGAGCAAACAGGAUUAGAUACCCUGGUAGUCCACGCCGUAAACGAUAAUCACUAGGUGUUGGUUCGGCUUAGCUGGAUCAGUGUCGUAGCUAACGCGUUAAGUGAUUCGCCUGGGGAGUAUGGUCGCAAGGCUAAAACUUAAAAGAAUUGACGGGGGUCCGCACAAGCGGUGGAACAUGUGGUUAAUUCGACACUACGCGAGAA
rnacentral:rRNA from 1 species